rnacentral:rRNA from 1 species
UACAGAGGGUGCGAGCGUUGUUCGGAAUUAUUGGGCGUAAAGGGCGCGUAGGCGGCGCGGAAAGUCAACGGUGAAAGCUCGGGGCUCAACCCCGAGUCGGCCGUCGAUACUUCUGUGCUCGAGCACUGUAGAGGCAGGUGGAAUUCCUGGUGUAGCGGUGAAAUGCGCAGAUAUCAGGAGGAACACCGAUGGCGAAGGCAGGUCUCUGGGCUGACACUGACGCUCAUGCACGAAAGCGUGGGGAGCAAACGGG